UCUUAGCUUGCUAAGGCUGAUGGCGACCGGCGCACGGGUGAGUAACACGUAUCCAACCUGCCGUCUACUCUUGGCCAGCCUUCUGAAAGGAAGAUUAAUCCAGGAUGGGAUCAUGAGUUCACGUGUCCGCAUGAUUAAAGGUAUUUUCCGGUAGACGAUGGGGAUGCGUUCCAUUAGAUAGUAGGCGGGGUAACGGCCCACCUAGUCAACGAUGGAUAGGGGUUCUGAGAGGAAGGUCCCCCACAUUGGAACUGAGACACGGUCCAAACUCCUACGGGAGGCAGCAGUGAGGAAUAUUGGUCAAUGGGCGAUGGCCUGAACCAGCCAAGUAGCGUGAAGGAUGACGG
rnacentral:rRNA from 1 species